rnacentral:rRNA from 1 species
GAUGAACGCUGGCGGCGUGCCUAAUACAUGCAAGUCGAGCGAACAGACGAGGAGCUUGCUCCUCUGACGUUAGCGGCGGACGGGUGAGUAACACGUGGAUAACCUACCUAUAAGACUGGGAUAACUUCGGGAAACCGGAGCUAAUACCGGAUAAUAUAUUGAACCGCAUGGUUCAAUAGUGAAAGACGGUUUUGCUGUCACUUAUAGAUGGAUCCGCGCCGCAUUAGCUAGUUGGUAAGGUAACGGCUUACCAAGGCGACGAUGCGUAGCCGACCUGAGAGGGUGAUGGGCCACACUGGAACUGAGACACGGUCCAGACUCCUACGGGAGGCAGCAGUAGGGAAUCGUCCGCAAUGGGCGAAAUCCUGACGGAGCAACGCCGCGUGAGUGAUGAAGGUCUUCGGAUCGUAAAACUCUGUUAUUAGGGAAGAACAAAUGUGUAAGUAACUAUGCACGUCUUGACGGUACCUAAUCAGAAAGCCACGGCUAACUACGUG